rnacentral:rRNA from 1 species
GCGGACGGCUCAGUAACACGUAGUCAACCUAACUCGUGGACGUGGAUAACCUCGGGAAACUGAGAAUAAACCACGAUAGAUCAUAGUGCCUGGAAUGGCUUAUGGUCCAAACAGUUUACUGCCAUGGGAUGGGACUGCGGCCUAUCAGCUUGUUGGUGAGGUAAUGGCCCACCAAGGCGAUUACAGGUACGGGCUCUGAGAGGAGAAGCCCGGAGAUGGGUACUGAGACACGGACCCAGGCCCUAUGGGGCGCAGCAGGCGAGAAACCUUAGCAAUGUGCGAAAGCACGACUGGGUCAGUCCGAGUGAUUCCUGAUAAAGGAGUUUUUUGCUUGUCCUAAAAGCACAGGUGAAUAAGGGGUGGGCAAGUCUGGUGUCAGCCGCCGCGGUAAUACCAGCACCUCGAGUGGUCAGGACGUUUAUUGGGCCUAAAGCAUCCGUAGCCGGCUUUGCAAGUCUUCGGUUAAAUCCACCUGCUCAACAGAUGGGCCGCUGGAGAUACUACAGAGCUAGGGAGUGGGAGAGGCAGACGGUAUUCAGUGGGUAGGGGUAAAAUCCUCUGAUCCAUUGAGGACCACCAGUGGCGAAGGCGGUCUGCCAGAACACGUUCGACGGUGAGGGAUGAAAGCUGGGGGAGCAAACCGGAUUAGAUACCCGGGUAGUCCCAGCUGUAAACGAUGCAAACUCGGUGAUGCAUUGGCUUAUGGCCA